rnacentral:rRNA from 1 species
CCUACGGGGGGCACCAGUAGGGAAUCUUCGGCAAUGGACGAAAGUCUGACCGAGCAACGCCGCGUGAGUGAAGAAGGUUUUCGGAUCGUAAAACUCUGUUGUUAGAGAAGAACAAGUAGGAGAGAACUGCUCUUACCUUGACGGUAUCUAACCAGAAAGCCACGGCUAACUACGUGCCAGCAGCCGCGGUAAUACGUAGGUGGCAAGCGUUGUCCGGAUUUAUUGGGCGUAAAGCGAGCGCAGGCGGUCUUUUAAGUCUGAUGUGAAAGCCCUCGGCUCAACCGAGGAAGGUCAUUGGAAACUGGAGGACUUGAGUGCAGAAGAGGAGAGUGGAAUUCCAUGUGUAGCGGUGAAAUGCGUAGAUAUAUGGAGGAACACCAGUGGCGAAGGCGACUCUCUGGUCUGUAACUGACGCUGAGGCUCGAAAGCGUGGGGAGCAAGCAGGAUUAGAUACCCCCGUAGUC